GCCUCGAUAGCUCAGCUGGAUAGAGCACCGGUUUCCUAAACCGUUGGUCAGGGGUUCGAAUCCCUUUCGGGGCGCCA
rnacentral:tRNA from 1 species